ACGGCUCAGUAACACGUGGACAACCUACCCUUGGGUCUGGCAUAAUCCUGGGAAACUGGGUAUAAUUCCAGAUAGGUCACAGAUGCUGGAAUGCACUGUGGCCGAAAGCUCCGGCGCCCAAGGAUGGGUCUGCGGCCUAUCAGGGUUGUAGUGGGUGUAACGGACCUACUAGCCUACGACGGGUACGGGUUGUGAGAGCAAGAGCCCGGAGAUGGAUUCUGAGACACGAAUCCAGGCCCUACGGGGUGCAGCAGGCGCGAAAACUUUACAAUGCGGGAAACCGUGAUAAGGGAAUCUCGAGUGCCACCAUAUAAUGUUGGCUGUCCAGAUGCCUAAAAAGCAUCUGUUAGCAAGGGCCGGGCAAGACCGGUGCCAGCCGCCGCGGUAACACCGGCGGCCCGAGUGGUAACCGCUUUUAUUGGGUCUAAAGGGUCUGUAGCCGGCCAAGUAAGUCCCUUGGGAAAUCUGGCAGCUUAACUGUCAGGCUGCUAGGGGAUACUGCUAGGCUUGGGACCGGGAGAGGUGAGAGGUACCUUGGGGGUAGGGGUGAAAUCUUGUGAUCCUCGGGGGACCACCAGUGGCGAAGGCGUCUCACCAGAACGGGUCCGACGGUAAGGGACGAAAGCUAGGGGCACGAACCGGAUUAGAUACCCGGGUAGUCCUAGCCGUAAACGAUGCUCGCUAGGUGUCAGUCACGGUGCGACCGUGAUUGGUGCCGUAGGGAAGCCGUGAAGCGAGCCACCUGGGAAGUAUGGCCGCAAGGCUGAACUUAAAGGAAUUGGCGGGGGAGCAC
rnacentral:rRNA from 1 species